rnacentral:rRNA from 1 species
CUAAUACAUGCAAGUCGAACGCACAGCGAAAGGUGCUUGCACCUUUCAAGUGAGUGGCGAACGGGUGAGUAACACGUGGACAACCUGCCUCAAGGCUGGGGAUAACAUUUGGAAACAGAUGCUAAUACCGAAUAAAACUCAGUGUCGCAUGACACAAAGUUAAAAGGCGCUUUGGCGUCACCUAGAGAUGGAUCCGCGGUGCAUUAGUUAGUUGGUGGGGUAAAGGCCUACCAAGACGAUGAUGCAUAGCCGAGUUGAGAGACUGAUCGGCCACAUUGGGACUGAGACACGGCCCAAACUCCUACGGGAGGCUGCAGUAGGGAAUCUUCCACAAUGGGCGAAAGCCUGAUGGAGCAACGCCGCGUGUGUGAUGAAGGCUUUCGGGUCGUAAAGCACUGUUGUAUGGGAAGAACAGCUAGAAUAGGGAAUGAUUUUAGUUUGACGGUACCAUACCAGAAAGGGACGGCUAAAUACGUGCCAGCAGCCGCGGUAAUACGUAUGUCCCGAGCGUUAUCCGGAUUUAUUGGGCGUAAAGCGAGCGCAGACGGUUGAUUAAGUCUGAUGUGAAAGCCCGGAGCUCAACUCCGGAAUGGCAUUGGAAACUGGUUAACUUGAGUGCAGUAGAGGUAAGUGGAACUCCAUGUGUAGCGGUGGAAUGCGUAGAUAUAUGGAAGAACACCAGUGGCGAAGGCGGCUUACUAGACUGUAACUGACGUUGAGGCUCGAAAGUGUGGGUAGCAAACAGGAUUAGAUACCCUGGUAGUCCACACCGUAAACGAUGAACACUAGGUGUUAGGAGGUUUCCGCCUCUUAGUGCCGAAGCUAACGCAUUAAGUGU